GCCAGGCACAGUGGUGCAUGCCUGUAAUCCUAGAGACUCUGGAGGCUGAGGCAGGAGGAUUGCAAGUUUGAGGUCAGUCUCAGCAAUUUAGCAAGACCCUAAGCAUCUU
rnacentral:sRNA from 1 species